rnacentral:ribozyme from 14 species
UCCUCAUUUUCCUUUUUUUUUUCUUUUUUCUUUUUUUUUUUUUUUU